GGACAGGUGAGAGGACAGGUGAAGAGGACAGAGGACAGGUGAGAGGACAGGUGAGAGGACAGGUGAGAGGACAGGUGAGAGGACAGGUGAAG